rnacentral:lncRNA from 1 species
UGUAUACAAAAGAAAAAUAUUUUCAACAAAUGUGAUCAAAGAUUCAUAUUUUUAUUCUAUAAAGAGCUUGUAUAAAUGGUUAAGAGAUAUAAUGGUAUAAUGAUUAUAUUGCCACAAUUUCAAAACAAAAAUGGAGACGAACUAACAUACAAAGAGGAAAAAUAGCUAACAGACAAAAAUUAUAUUCCAUUAGUAUUUGAGUAAUUGCAAAUGGAAACAUUUUUAAACUACCAAAUUUGUAACAUUAAAAAAAUUAUAGGUGGGGCACAGUGGCUCACGCCUGUAAUCCCAGUACUUUGGGAGGCUGAGGAGGGCGGAUCAUUAAGGGUAGCAGUUGGAGACCAGCCUGGCCAACAUGGUGAAACCCAGUCUCUACUAAAAAUAAAAAAAUUAGCCGGGCGUGGUGGUGGGUGACCGUAAUCCCAGCUACUCGGGAAGCUGAGGCAGGAGAAUCGCUUGAACUUGGGAGGCAGAGGUUGCAGUGAGCCGAGAUCGCGCCAUUGCACUCCAGCCUGGGCAACAGAGCGAGACUCCGUCUCAAAAAAAAAAAAAAAUUAUAGAGUACAGUGAAAACUACAUUUCUCCUGGUAUAAUGUAAAUCAGCACAGUUUUUCUGGACAAUAACUAUCAAAAACCUUUAAAAUGUUCAGCCUUUUAAACUCAGGCAUAUAGGUUUUGGUGGGAAUCUGUACUGAAGAAAUAAUUAGAAAAGUAGAUUUUUUAAGUUGGGCACAAAGAUGAUUGCUUCAAAGCUAUUUAUGAUAGCAAGAAACUAGAAACAGUUUAAAUGCAAAGCAAUAAGGGAAUGCAAUCAAUGAGUAGUUUCUUAGGCACUUCUGUAUAUUCACCGAUUAGCACAGGGUAUCUGGGCCACACUAAUGAUAUAAAUAAUAACAGCUGAUAUUUAUGUGCUAGGCACAGUUUUAAGCAUUUUAAUGUUCACAACAACCCAAUAAAGUACUGUACUAUUACUUGUAUUUAUACAGAUGAGGGAACUAAUUCCAGAACUUGUACUCUUAACCAUUAUAUUGGGUAUUCAAUAAAUGUUUCUGGAAUAAAUUGAAUGCUGAUUAUGUUUACGAAUGUUAAUGAAAACACAUAAAAUUCAAAAUUUAUAUUUAGUUAUGCCUUGAUACAAACUGUAUACAUAACUUGCUCUCAAUUAUAGGAGAACAGCUCAAAAAUUCACAAGAAAAAAUGUUAACCAUGUUUUUUAUCCCCUGCUUUUAACUUCUCAUACAUUCCACAAUUUCUGCAAUGAAUAUGAAUUACUUUACAAGAAGAAAAUGAAGUGCCUGUAAUAAACACACCCAGUAGGCAAUGCUGAGUGGCACCUUUGACAUUGCUGCCACUACUUUAGGUAAAAGGAUCUCUAUUAAAUAUCGAUCCUGUUGCUCAACUUUACAGUAAGAGCUGAUGUAGUCAACACCAUCACAUCCUCAAAAGCACCACCUAGGAGGAUAACUUUGCUUAUCUCAAUGUUUUUGAGCUAGUUUCUCACGCAUUUUAGUGAAAAGAAAACCUAGUAAGUAGUCUGGUCCCACUUGAUCCAGAACCAGGAAAAUGGCACCAGGAUCACAGUGGGAAGCUCUCACUUUGCCCACUUCAAAUGGAAACAGGACGCUGUAAGUGGGAAAAGUAAAACAUGAACUUGGAGGAACAAGAGGACUACAGACACUCGAAACAGGAACCUCGGAGAAAAGAAAUAGGAGACACCGGUAUAUAGGAGUUUAGGCCAAAGGUUGAGUAUUACAAAACCAAACAAAGAUGACACCCGAAAAGUUUUAAGUGUGUAUGUACUUAAACCCUUUAGAAACAGAGGGGCAGUAAGGACCUGAAGGGAGGAGACAGCAAGGGGACUGUUGGGACACUUCAGUUAGAGAAGUAGGAAACAAGAUACUAGGUCGAAAUGGUUCAUUCGGGGGAGUGUGCUAAAGGCAGCUAGGACAACAAAAAUCUGCUGUACAGUUUUAAAACUCAGGAGUCAAUAUUCUAGGUCAUCCUGGCCCUGUUUACACACAGACACAAACACUGGUUUCCAGCGGGAACAAUCAGUCAUAUAUUGGAGGCGCUAAAAUCAGUCGGGUGGGAUAUAAACGGAAUAGGUCAGAGGGGAGGACUUAAAAGAGGGAGUCCCCAGGCCCACUGGGACCUAGAUAUAGAUGCAACCCCAGAUAUGGGGAUGGAGGGGAUGGGAGGGGAGUGGUUCCCAGCCUGGAGAGAAGGUUCAGUCAUUGGGCCUGGAGUCGGGAGUGUCGGGGCAGUGGGAGCAGGUAUCUGGGGGUGAUCCCAAAGAACUGAGGGUGGUGGAGGCUGCUGUGGCUUCCCAGCAAGAAGCCAAAUCACAGGGGUCGCUGUCACCCGCGAUCGCGGCACGUUCCCG